AAGGGAUAGGGUCGGUUCGGCCGGAUUUUACACAGGUGUUGCAUGGCUGUCGUCAGCUCGUGUCGUGAGAUGUUGGGUUAAGUCCCGCAACGAGCGCAACCCUCAUCCUUAGUUGCCAUCAGGUAAUGCUGAGCACUUUAAGGAAACUCCCAGUGAUAAGCUGGAGGAAGAUGGGGAUGAUGUCAAGUCAUCAUGGCCUUUAUGAAGUGGGCUACACACGUGCUACAAUGGUGUCUACAAUGGGCUGCAAGGUGCGCAAGCCUAAGCUAAUCCCUAAAAGACAUCUCAGUUCGGAUUGUACUCUGCAACUCGAGUGCAUGAAGUUGGAAUCGCUAGUAAUCGUGGAUCAGCAUGCCACGGUGAAUACGUUCUCGGGUCUUGUACACACUGCCCGUCACGCCAUGGGAAUUGGUU
rnacentral:rRNA from 1 species